GUGUUUGCUUUGGCAGCACAUAUACUAAAAUUGGAACGAUACAGAGAGAUUAGCAUGGUCCCUGUGCAAGGAUGACAUACUAAUUCGUGAAGUGGUACAUAUUUUC
rnacentral:snRNA from 1 species